rnacentral:rRNA from 1 species
CAGGUAGUUGGCGGAGUAAUAGCCCACCAAGCCAACGAUCAGUAACUGGUGUGAGAGCACGACCAGUCACACGGGCACUGAGACACGGGCCCGACUCCUACGGGAGGCAGCAGUAAGGAAUAUUGGUCAAUGGACGCAAGUCUGAACCAGCCAUGCCGCGUGGAGGAUGAAGGCUCUCUGGGUUGUAAACUUCUUUUAUCUGGGAAGAAACCACUCUUUUCUAAGGGUGUUGACGGUACCAGUUGAAUAAGCACCGGCUAACUCCGUGCCAGCAGCCGCGGUAAUACGGAGGGUGCAAGCGUUAUCCGGAUUCACUGGGUUUAAAGGGUGCGUAGGUGGGCAGGUAAGUCAGUGGUGAAAUCUCCGGGCUUAACCCGGAAACUGCCGUUGAUACUAUUUGUCUUGAAUGUAGUGGAGGUGAGCGGAAUAUGUCAUGUAGCGGUGAAAUGCUUAGAUAUGACAUAGAACACCCAUUGCGAAGGCAGCUCGCUACACUAUUAUUGACACUGAGGCACGAAAGCGUGGGGAUCAAACAGGAUUAGAUACCCUGGUAGUCCACGCCCUAAACGAUGAUUACUCGACAUCGGCGAUACACAGUCGGUGUCUGAGCGAAAG